rnacentral:lncRNA from 1 species
AUUCCAACAAAGACCUCUGAAGAAGGCUUGGCAUAUGGGGUUCUAUACAAUGGAAGCACCCAGGCUGCUGGAAUCAUCAGACAGAAGAAGGCUGCCCUCCUGAUGCCUAAUGAUGCCAUGAAAGGAACAAGAAUUAUUCUGUAAGAUUCCUAAUAGUAGAAUUUGACUAUGAAGUCAAAGAGUUUGAAAAUCUGUAAAAGACACGAGUGAGUACAGGAAACCAGCUUCCUUGAAAGGUUGAAGAAGUUUGUUUUCCGGCUACCAGAACAGGAGAUGACCUGUCUUACCACACUCUCAUCUGCAUUGAACGUCUCCUUGUACUACAGGUCAAUUGUUGGCUCUUUGCCCACCCAUGAGUGCUCUAACCUUGAGAAGGGAAUAUGGGUGCAUGUGCGUAGCUACUGUGGCUGUGGUGGAGCCGUGGAUGGAAAGAAGGAUGAGACCCAACAGCCAGAUGGGACAAAGGCCAUUGGAGGUCCAGGCACAGCACGUUGCAUGGAACAUUACUUGAUCAACAGUUGCUACUUCGUGGAUUAUCACUUACGUUGAAAAAAAAAAAUAACACUACUUGGCGAUAUCUUUGAAUUCAAGCCUCUUAUCUUUCCUCUUUCGAAGGACAAGAUGAUUGCUUGCAGCUUCCUCAAGCCCUCUAAUCAAGCACAGGAAACGACCAGAAUGCAAUGAACUGCCACGGAAGAUUCCUUUUCUUGCCCACGUUACCGAAGAGCACUUACAGAGCGUUUCAUGAAAGGAAUGCAGAAUACGCCGAAGCAAGGGUGGGCAGAGAGUUAAAGCCCAAGCCCGCAAGACUGAAUGACCUCCGUGGGCAACCCUUGCACCCAGUCGCAAACAAAUGGGACCAGGAACGCUUUCCUCUCACACUCGCUGGGAGGCACCCCCACCCACCACCUCCUGCCGUCCAUCUCCUCCUUCCCUGAUUUGUGUCUGUUUUUGUUAAACAGUGGAUCUUGCUAUGCUUUUCAGAAAGCUGACAAGAAGCAAGCUGAAAAUUAAAAAUGGGUGCCGAGGGGCUUUACGGGAGUCUAAAUAAACAGCUCGACAGGAAAGACGUGUGGCAGGCUAAGGUUUCAGGCUAGUGGUCGGAGAGAGUUAAAAGACAUCCGUAUAACAGAAGGCUGUGUUUGUUUUCCCUGUCCCUGCUCUAGCAAAUUUAUUGGGUUAUCUAUCUUAUUUUGACACUUGGGUGUUUAAGGUUUCUGUUCUAGGUGUCUAAAGACAUAAAAAAAAUUAUUGUACCGCUUACAUUCCUGGCAGAGGCUUUGGCAUGUGCUAGCUGAAAAGUUCCUAUCUGCCAGUAAUUUUUAGAAAAAAGCCUUGUAGAAUUGGGUUUUCGCAGAGGCUCCAAGAAUCCUCUGCAGAAAACGCCAAGAACAAAGGGGUUCUUAUUUUAUUUCUGACCCUAUCAUCCGAAUGUUCAGUGAUGUGCUGUCACCCAGCUAUGUUCUUCUCAUUGUUCUGCUUUCGCUCACCGUGUAACAUACAAGGAGCACUUCUGGUGUCCUGUGGAAGGAGAGGAUUUUCCAUCAGUGGAGCUUGCAAUCAGCACAGAUUGCCAAGAUACCAUCUGAUUUGCUUUUCGGGUUAAAAAUGCGUGGCAGUGUUGGGUGGACACUAGGUGUUUUGAAAAAGCAACAUCAAAAUAUGACAGUCAUAUGUGUGGAGAAUAUUGACGUUUUGAUGACUGAUGUAUGAAAC